GACAGAGGGUGCAAACGUUGCUCGGAAUCACUGGGCGUAAAGGGCGUGUAGGCGGGACAGUAAGUCGGGCGUGAAAGCCCUCGGCUCAACCAAGGAAGUGCAUCCAAAACUACAAAGCUUGAGUACUUAAGAGGAUCGCGGAAUUCCCGGUGUAGAGGUGAAAUUCGUAGAUAUUGGGAAGAACACCGGUGGCGAAGGCGGCGACCUGGUCCUUUACUGACGCUGAGGCGCGAAAGCGUGGGGAGCAAACAGG
rnacentral:rRNA from 1 species